rnacentral:lncRNA from 1 species
CCUUAACUUAGGACUUAAUUAAGCCCCCACGUUCUACCUAUUAUAUGACCUUAACUUAAGUUAGAACUUAUCUCAUAUCAAUUGAGACGAUCCGACUCACUAGCAAUACUAUAUGACCCUAAGACAAUCAAGACUUAUCUCAUACCAACUGUAACGAUCCAACCCUAAAACAAUCAAGACUUAUCUUAUACCAACUGUAACGAUCUGACUCAUUAACAAUAGUAACUCGUUAGGCCCAAAUUAUCGGCCUACAAAGCGUAAAGUUCGUAUUAUUAUUAUUAGAGUGUGUGACCUCUAAUAUUCUUAAACACAAUUUCUUUCUCAUUCGAUGUGAGAUUAUUGGAGUAUUACAUUACGAGAGUUUAUUCUUU